UAUUUUCAAAAGACUAACAUUUCAUUUUAUAAACAUUGUACACCAAUAAAAGUGCUAAAUAUUUAUUUAAGUGUACUAUUGUACUAUUAUACCCAAGGCAUACUUGUCCAGAGCAGCAAGCCUGUAGAGCACCACGGUGUGGUCCUGGUGUAUAAGGAACUGGCUCUGAACAACUCCUACUCCUUUCACUUCUACCUGGCCACCAACAACUCCUCCGACAUUAAGGACAUAGGGAAGGAGGUGCGUUGCGCCAACAAGCGUUACCUGAAGGUAGAGAAGCCACCCACCUGUAAGCCGGAUGAGAGUAGGUACCGCCUCAUGAGUGAACCAGAGGGAGACAUCAGCCCUUUUUCUAUUAAGCUAUUUAUUUAUUUUUUAUUUUUUUAUUUUUUUAUAUAGCCCUUCGUACAUCAGCUGAAAUCUCAAAGUGCUGUACAGAAACCCAGCCUAAAACCCCAAACAGCAAGCAAUGCAUGUGAAAGAAGCACGGUGGCUGGGAAAAACUCCCUAGGAAAAACUCCUGAGAAAGGCCAAAAACCUAGGAAGAAACCUAGAGAGGAACCAGGCUAUGAGGGGUGGCCAGUCGUCUUCUGGCUGUGCCGGGUGGAUAUUAUAACAGAACAUGGUCAAGAUGUUAAAAUGUUCGUAAAUGACCAGCAUGGUCAAAUAAUAAUAAUCAUAGUAAUUGUCGAGGGUGCAACAAGCACGUCCGGUGAACAGGUCAGGGUUCCGUAGCCGCAGGCAGAACAGUUGAAACUGGAGCAGCAGCAUGGCCAGGUGGACUGGGGACAGCAAGGAGUCAUCAUGCCAGGUAGUCCUGAGGCAUGGUCCUAGGGCUCAGGUCCUCCGAGAGAAAGAAAGAAAGAGAGAAAGAGAGAAUUAGAGAGAGCAUAUUUACAUUCACACAGGACACCGGAUAAGACAAGAGAAUACUCCAGAUGUAACAGACUGACCCUAGCCCCCCGACACAUAAACUACUGCAGCAUAAAUACUGGAGGCUGAGACAGGAGGGAUCAGAAGACACUGUGGCCCCAUCCGAUGAUACCCCCGGACAGGGCCAAACAGGCAGGAUAUAACCCCACCCACUUUGCCAAAGCACAGCCCCCACACCACUAGAGGGAUAUCUACAACCACCAACUUACCGUCCGAAGACAAGGCCGAGUAUAGCCCACAAAGAUCUCCGCCACGGCAUAACCCAAGGGGGGGGCGCCAACCCAGACAGGAAGACCACGUCAGUGGCUCAACCUACUCAAGUGACGCACCCCUCCCAUGGACGGCAUGGAAGAACACCAGUAAGUCAGUGACUCAGCCCCUGUAAAAGGGUUAGAGGCAGAGAAUCCCAGUGGGAAGAGGGGAACCGACAAGGCAGAGACAGCAAGGGCGGUUCGUUGCUCCAGCCUUUCCGUUCACCUUCACACUCCUGGGCCAGACUAUACUUAAUCAUAGGACCAUCUUUGCUUUUUGCUUUUAUUGAGUACUACCAUAGAAAUAGAAU
rnacentral:lncRNA from 1 species